rnacentral:rRNA from 1 species
AUUGAACGCUGGCGGCAGGCCUAACACAUGCAAGUCGAGCGGAUGAAGGGAGCUUGCUCCUGGAUUCAGCGGCGGACGGGUGAGUAAUGCCUAGGAAUCUGCCUGGUAGUGGGGGAUAACGUCCGGAAACGGGCGCUAAUAUCGCAUACGUCCUGAGGGUGAAAGUGGGGGAUCUUCGGACCUCACGCUAUCAGAUGAGCCUAGGUCGGAUUAGCUAGUUGGUGGGGUAAAGGCCUACCAAGGCGACGAUCCGUAACUGGUCUGAGAGGAUGAUCAGUCACACUGGAACUGAGACACGGUCCAGACUCCUACGGGAGGCAGCAGUGGGGAAUAUUGGACAAUGGGCGAAAGCCUGAUCCAGCCAUGCCGCGUGUGUGAAGAAGGUCUUCGGACUGUAAAGCACUUUAAGUUGGGAGGAAGGGCAGUAAGUUAAUACCUUGCUGUUUUGACGUUACCAACAGAAUAAGCACCGGCUAACUUCGUG